AUUGAACGCUGGCGGCAGGCCUAACACAUGCAAGUCGAACGAGUGGCGGACGUGUUAGUAAUGUCUGGGCAACUGCCUGAUGGAUGGGGCUAACUAAUGGAAACGGUAACUCAUACCGCAUACCAUCAGAUGUGCCCCGAUGGGAUUAGCUUGUUGUGUGGGUAACGGGUAACCAAGGCGACGCUCCCUCCCUGGUGUGAGAGGAUGACAAGCCAAAGUGGAACUGAGAAACGGUCCAGACUCCUACGGAGGGAAGCAGGGGGGAAUAUUGCACAAUGGGCGAAAGCCUGACGAGGAAAUGCGGCGUGUAUGAAGAAGUCUUUCGGGUUGGAAAGUACUUUGAGCGGGGAGGCGUUACCCGAAGAAGAAGGGCCGGCUAACUCCGUGCCAGCAGCCGCGGUAAUAC
rnacentral:rRNA from 1 species